ensembl:lncRNA
UUCUUCAUCAAAGCAGCAGAGGGAGCCUCAAUGCGUCCUGAUGUCCCCUCCAGCUGAUCAGACAGCUGUUCUCUAUCAAAUUACAGAAGUAAUAACAACAAACAGGACAACAAGGAGCACUUCAGUUUAUCACGUUCCAACACAUCUAGAGGAAUCCUUGUUUGACACAAGUGACCCGGACCUCAGCUGGAGCUGGACCCUCCAGGUGCGCGCUGACGAGCCCGAGGAGCGUGCGUGCCGCUGGUCGGAGUCACGCGCACAGGUGAGCUCGGCAUCGUGCGUCCGGGACAGAGUGCGCGGGCUGUACGUGCGCGUGCGCGGCGCGGAUCUCCUCCUCGCGGCCACACCGAGGAAGUCGUGUCCCGAACUUCUCCCCCUUUUUCUCCCCGUUUUCUCCCCGCUGCUUCCGGGCCGCUCGGCUGCGGAGCUCCACGAGGACCCGGUGCCCCGGAGACCGGCAGCUCCGCGCGGGAGAGAGAGCGCGUUUCCACGGCAACACGCGGAGGACAGAACUGCGUUUCUAUGAAAGUAGCUGCUGUUCCUGAUCAGUCCACUGGGGGCGCUGUGAGCGAGCGCAUCAAGGCAACGCCGCCAUAUCGCCUGCUAUCGAAAUAAGUCCUGCUCAGUCCACUACGGGACCUAACGGAACUCUUCCAGUCUUUAAGCUAAGCUAAGUUAGCUAGUUCCUCCCUCUGCUUCCAGCCUUUUAGCUGUGAUGGGGGACCCUGACCCCUCCAGCCCCCCCUCCACAGAGAGGUCCAGUGUCCUGCCAAGGAGAGCAAGAGCACUGCCACCGAGAGAGAGACAGGGGGACAGAGAGACAGACAGAGAGAGACGGGGGGACAGAGAGACGGACAGACAGAGAGAGACAGGGGGACAGAGAGACAGACAGAGAGAGACGGGGGGACAGAGAGAGAGACAGAGAGAGACGGGGGGGCAGAGAGAGAGACAGAGAGAGACGGGGGGGGCAGAGAGACAGACAGAGACAGGGGGGCAGAGAGGUCUGGUCUCCAUAUUGUAGUUUGGGGGUGAAAAGUUCACUCUUAUUUUUGGAAUCUAUAAAUAUCCUGGAGGAGGAGAGGAGGGAGCAGAGGAGGGAGGAUAGGAGGGAGGAGGGAGCAGAGGAGGGAGGAUAGGAGGGAGGAGGUAGCAGAGGAGGGAGGGAGGAGGGAGGAGGGA